rnacentral:rRNA from 1 species
UACGUAGGUGGCAAGCGUUACUCGGAAUCACUAGGCGUAAAGCGCAGGUAGGUGGUUUGGUAAGUCUUUUGUGAAAGCUCCUGGCUCAACUGGGAGAGGUCAAAGGAAACUACCAGGCUAGAGUUUGGUAGGGGAGACUGGAAUUCCUGGUGUAGCGGUGAAAUGCGUAGAUAUCAGGAGGAAUACCUAUGGCGAAAGCAGGUCUCUGGGCCACAACUGACACUGAGCUGCCAAAGCUAGGGGAGCAAACAGG